UUAAGCGACUAAGCGUACACGGUGGAUGCCCUGGCAGUCAGAGGCGAUGAAGGGCGUACUAAUCUGCGAUAAGCGCCGGUAAGGUGAUAUGAACCGUUAUAACCGGCGAUACCCGAAUGGGGAAACCCAGUGUGAUUCGUCACACUAUCAUUAACUGAAUCCAUAGGUUAAUGAGGCGAACCGGGGGAACUGAAACAUCUAAGUACCCCGAGGAAAAGAAAUCAACCGAGAUUCCCCCAGUAGCGGCGAGCGAACGGGGAGGAGCCCAGAGCCUGAAUCAGCAUGUGUGUUAGUGGAAGCGUCUGGAAAGGCGCGCGAUACAGGGUGACAGCCCCGUACACAAAAGCGCAUGUGCUGUGAGCUCGAUGAGUAGGGCGGGACACGUGGUAUCCUGUCUGAAUAUGGGGGGACCAUCCUCCAAGGCUAAAUACUCCUGACUGACCGAUAGUGAACCAGUACCGUGAGGGAAAGGCGAAAAGAACCCCGGCGAGGGGAGUGAAAAAGAACCUGAAACCGUGU
rnacentral:rRNA from 1 species